CAUGGCUCAGAUUGAACGCUGGCGGCAGGCCUAACACAUGCAAGUCGAGCGGUAAGAGAGGUAGCUUGCUACCCGCUGACGAGCGGCGGACGGGUGAGUAAUGCGUAGGAAUCUGCCUGGUAGUGGGGGACAACAGUCGGAAACGACUGCUAAUACCGCAUACGUCCUACGGGAGAAAGUGCCGGAUCUUCGGACCUCACGCUAUUAGAUGAGCCUACGUCGGAUUAGCUAGUUGGUGAGGUAACGGCUCACCAAGGCGACGAUCCGUAGCUGGUCUGAGAGGAUGAUCAGCCACACUGGGACUGAGACACGGCGCAGACUCCUACGGGAGGCAGCAGUGGGGAAUAUUGGACAAUGGGCGCAAGCCUGAUCCAGCCAUGCCGCGUGUGUGAAGAAGGCCUUCGGGUUGUAUAGCACUAUCAGCGAGGAGGAGGCUACUUUAGUUAAUACCUAGAGAUAGUGGACGUUACUCGCAGAAUAAGCACCGGCUAACUACGUGCCAGCAGGGGCGGUAAUACGUAGGUGGCAAGCGUUGUCCGGAUUAUUGGGCGUAAAGCGCGCACGCAGGCGGUUUGUUAAGUC
rnacentral:rRNA from 1 species